rnacentral:misc_RNA from 1 species
GGAGACCGAUCUCAAGGCGGCGGGGGCGGCGGCGCUUCCCGACGGCCGGCGCGGACUGCGGCUCAAGGGCUGGCACAUCGAGUCCUCCAACCGCCCCAUCCUCGGCUCCCUCGCCCUCCGAGAGUUGGAAGAAAAACUUGGGACUUCACACUUGCCUGAAAUGGUUUUUGGAGAUAGUUCUUUACUUCUUAUACAUCUAGAGACUGGUGUAAAAGUUCACUUCAACACACUUGAUGCUCUUAAGGGAUGGAAACGCGAAUCAUUGCCCCCGGUGGAAGUUCCUG